AGCGAACGCUGGCGGCAGGCCUAACACAUGCAAGUCGAACGGAUCCUUCGGGAUUAGUGGCGGACGGGUGAGUAACACGUGGGAACGUGCCUUUUGGUUCGGAACAACUCAGGGAGACUUGAGCUAAUACCGGAUAAGCCCUUCGGGGGAAAGAUUUAUCGCCAUUAGAGCGGCCCGCGUAGGAUUAGCUAGUUGGUGGGGUAAAGGCCCACCAAGGCUACGAUCCUUAGCUGGUCUGAGAGGAUGAUCAGCCACAUUGGGACUGAGACACGGCCCAAACUCCUACGGGAGGCAGCAGUGGGGAAUCUUGCGCAAUGGGCGAAAGCCUGACGCAGCCAUGCCGCGUGAAUGAUGAAGGUCUUAGGAUUGUAAAAUUCUUUCACCGGGGACGAUAAUGACGGUACCCGGAGAAGAAGCCCCGGCUAACCUCGUGCCAGCAGCCGCCGUAA
rnacentral:rRNA from 1 species